rnacentral:rRNA from 1 species
UAGUGAUUAACGCGAAGAACCUUACCCAGGCUUGAACAGCGAGUGACCAUCGACGAAAGUUGACUUCCGCAAGGACACUCGUAGAGGUGCUGCAUGGCUGUCGUCAGCUCGUGUCGUGAGAUGUUGGGUUAAGUCCCGCAACGAGCGCAACCCUUGUUUGCUGUUGCCAUCAGGUUAAGCUGGGCACUCUGCAAAGACUGCCGGUGAUAAACCGGAGGAAGGUGGGGAUGACGUCAAGUCAGCAUGGCCUUUAUGUCUGGGGCUACACACGUGCUACAAUGGCCGAUACAAACCGUCGCGAGCCCGCAAGGGGGAGCUAAUCGGAGAAAGUCGGUCUCAGUUCGGAUAGCAGGCUGCAACUCGCCUGCUUGAAGUUGGAAUCGCUAGUAAUCGCGGAUCAGCACGCCGCGGUGAAUACGUUCCCGGGCCUUGUCACACCGAAUCGAAUUC